rnacentral:rRNA from 1 species
GUGGGGAAUAUUGGACAAUGGGCGAAAGCCUGAUCCAGCCAUGCCGCGUGUGUGAAGAAGGUCUUCGGAUUGUAAAGCACUUUAAGUUGGGAGGAAGGGUAGUAACCUAAUACGUUGCUACUUUGACGUUACCGACAGAAUAAGCACCGGCUAACUUCGUGCCAGCAGCCGCGGUAAUACGAAGGGUGCAAGCGUUAAUCGGAAUUACUGGGCGUAAAGCGCGCGUAGGUGGUUCAGUAAGUUGGAAUUGAAAUCCCCGGGCUCAACCUGGGAACUGCUUUCAAAACUGCUGAGCUAGAGUACGGUAGAGGGUGGUGGAAGUUCCUGUGUAGCGGUGAAAUGCGUAGAUAUAGGAAGGAACACCAGUGGCGAAGGCGACCACCUGGACUGAGACUGACACUGAGGUGCGAAAGCGUGGGGAGCAAACAGGAUUAGAAACCCGGGUAGUCC